CCGAGGGGAGGGUGCAGGGCCCGGCGGCGGCGAGCGGGCCACUCGAUCAGGUCCCGCGAGCUGCGCGGACCAUGGAACCUGUGUCGCUGCAGGACUACGUGCGCGCCCUGGACCCCGCCUCCCUGCCGCGAGUACUGCGGGUCUGCUCGGGUGUCUACUUCCAGGGCUCCAUCUAUGAGAUCUCUGGGAACGAGUGCUGCCUCUCCACAGGGGACCUGAUGAAGGUUACCCACAUUGGCCUCCAGAAAGUGGUCUGCAAGGACCCGGAGACAGGCCAGACCAUGGAACUUGCUCCCGAUUUCCAGGGUCUCUUCAGCCCCAUCACCAGCCCCCGGAGCUAUGGAACCCUGGAGGAGCUGGUCUCUGCUGCAACCCAGCAUUCCAGGAAGCUUCCCAUCUGCUUCAUGUCAACCCACAGAAUCACCACCGAGGCCAGGAUGGUGACCGAGGCGCAGCCCCUCAAGCUUGAGGCUGUGGAAAUGCACCACGGGACCUACUAUGCCCGCUGUGUGCUGGGAACUGGAGUCCAGCAGGCUUUUCUGCGCCUGCCCCUGUCCCAGAAGGGGUGCUUCUGGGAACUGAAGCUGGGGGACCCUCAGACCCUCCUCCAGGUGCUACAGGACCCGGCCCUGAGGGACGGCCCCCUCACCUGCCCCGUCCUCCCCUGGCACUUCCUGACCCUGAGGCCAGAAUAUGAGGUUGAAGCCAUCAUGCACUUGCGCAGGACCGUCGUCAAGAUCCCCUCCACCCUGGAGGUCGACGUGGAGGAUGUCACUGCCUCCUCUCAGCACAUCCACUUCAUCCAGCCGAUGCUGCUGAGCGAGGCCCUGGCCCGGGGUGGCCCCUUCCCCCUGUCCACGGAGAUCCUGGAAGUUCCGGAGGGGCCAUGCCCCUUCCUCAGCCCGUGGGUGGGCUGCUUGCAGAAGGGCCAGAAGCUCUGCAUCCAAGGCCUGGCUUCGCCACCCUGGCGGUUCCUGGCCUCAACGAAGGGCCGGAAGGUGCCCAGACACUUCAUGAUCUCCGGAGCCUACCAGGGCAAGCUGCGGCGGCGGCCAAGAGAGUUCCCCACCACCUUCGACCUCCUGGGUGCUCUCCAGCCAGGCCGGCCACUCCGGGUGGCAGUCACGAAGGACUGUGAGGUUGACGGGUUAGAGACCCCCGGCUUCACGUCCCUGGCUAUGGGGGACAGGCUGGAGGUGUUGGGGACUGGCCAGGCCCUUGGGGCUCAAGAGAGGGACAUAGAAGUCUUGGUGUGUCAGCGGCUGAGUGACCAGACGGGGGAGGAAGAAGAAGAGGAUGGCGAGUCGGAGGACCAAGAGCAGAUUCUGCUGCCCCUCUACUUCCCUGGCAGCUUCGUGGAGGAGUUGAGGGAUGGCCGGCGCUACAGCCUGCAGGACCUGACCGCCCAGUUCUCGCUGCCCUGUGAGGUCAAGGUCGUAGCCAAGGACACUAGCCUCCCUGUGGACCCUCUGCCCUCCUUCCCGGGCCUGCGGCUGGAGGAGAAGAUCAUGGAACCCUUCUUUGUGGUCAGCCUGGACUCCAACCCUGAGAUGUGCUUCGAGAUCUCUCCCCGGUGGCUGGACCUGACGGUAGUGGAGGCCAAGGGGCGGCCAAGCCAGCCGGCGAGGCCCCUCCCCGUCGCCACAGUGGAGGAGCUGACGGAAGCCUUCUACUAUCGCUUGCGGAAGUUAUCAGCCUUUGAGAGUCAAACCCCCCCGCCCAGGCCUCCGAAAAGUAAGAGCCUCGAUGGGCAGAAGAAGCCGGGCAGAAAGGUGAAAGACGCGCAGGUACCAACAGAACCCAAGUGGGCAGGGAGGGGCCGCCUUUUGGGAUCAUUCAGGUCUUGCCGUUUCUUUUCCUUUUUUUUUUUUUUUUUUUUUUUUUUUUUUUGCCUUUUGGGGCCGCCCUCGAGUUAUAUGGAGGUUCCCAGGCUAGGCGUUGAGUCAGAGCUGCAGCUGCCAACCUACACCACAGCCACAGCAAUGGGUGAUCCGAGCUGCAUCUUCGACCUACACCAUAGCUCAUGGCAACGCCGGAUCCUUAACCCACUGAGCGAGGCCAGGGGUCGAACCUGCAUCCUCAUGGAUACUAUUCGGAUUUGUUUCCGAUGCGCCACAAUGGGAAUUCCUUGCCGUUUCUUUGUCUGGCAUCACGUUCCUUACAGUGGUGCAGAAACUGCGGUUUAUAAAAUUGCAGACGUUGUGCUAUUAUCAUUCCGUCCCGACCAUCCUGACGUUGGUGUGAUUAUCUAUAUUAUAUGGUUGAGCACAUGAGGUCCCAGAGACUGAGACUCCCCUAAAGUCACAAUUCAGAAAUGGGGGGACCUGAACUGGAGCAGCAUGCUGACUCCUAGUUCACGGCACCUCACCUCUCUGCUACCCCUGCUGUCACGCCCUUCGGGAUUUUUCACCUAAAUUGGUUCAGCAGCCACGUCAAACCCCUACCCACAGCUGUCAGAAUGGCCUCCCACAGCCUUCCCUGCUCACAGGGACCGUGACCCCAUCUUCGGUGGCUCCACAUCCCUCAGGGUAACACGAACCCCCUAACGUGGCCUCCAGGGCCCUUUGGAGCCGUCUUCAGUCUCACCUUCCCAGGCCCAUCUUCCACCACCGCUCAGCAGCCCAGGCUGCAGCCCCAGAGAAACUUCUGAUGCUUCCCCCAUAUGCCAGGAUUCCCGCCUCAGCCCUUCACACACACAGAGGCGAGGCUCCGAUUUCCUCCAAGGCAGUGACGGUCCUCUCUCCUCUGCAUCCACACUGCACUUCGUACUUAGCUUAGCGGUGGGGCGACGUGUGGCUUUGAUUCGUUGUACUCGGACUCUGGCUAGAACGGAAUUCUGUGGGGAAGGGGCCUCCCAUUCCCAGGCAGGCAGAGAAAAUGCCAGUGAGUCUGAACAGAACCAGACCGAAUCACGAGGAGGGGAAAGAACUUUGGAGUCAGGAACGCCAAGUUCAUGUCCCAGGUUACUCAAUCUGUGGCCUGUACACCUUCUCUUCAGGUGAACCUGGGAUAACAUCACUCUCAGUGCUGUUUUGCCAGCCUCCACUCGUCGGGCGCUGACUGGGGCAGGCACCUUAUAGGUACUGCCCCACCCAGCUCUCAGGAUGGUCCCUCUGAGGUGGGCACUGAAAGCCCUUUCUCCAGUUGAGACGUCGAGAGGCACAGAGAGGUAAAGGAGUUUACCUGAGAUCACACAGCUAGCAAGUGGCAGGCUGGGCAGUUGAAAUUGGGUCUGAGCACACAGCCUGAGCUCCAGCCAUGUUCGGCUGAGAACAGGGGUGGAUGGGGUGUGUGUGUGGCGGGGAGCCGCACAUACAUGCGUCGGGGUAGAGGGGGAUGAUCUGUACAAAAAGCACUUUGAAGGAGUUCCCGUUGUGGCUCAGUGGUUAACAAAUCUGCCUAGCAUCCAUGAAGAUGCAGGUGCGAUCCUUGGCCUUGCCGUGAGCUGUGCUGUAGGUCACAGACAAGGCUUGGAUCCUGUGAUGCUGUGGUUGUGGAGUAGACCAGUGGCUACAGCUCCGAUUUGACCCCUAGCCUGGGAAGCUCCAUAUGCCACAGGUGCAGCCCCAAAAAGAAAAGACAAAAAAAAAGGGCUUUGCUCCAGGACUUGGAAAGACUUGCAUUUUGUACCACGUGGGGAGGUAGUAGAACAGCAGUGGAAACUAAAGAGAUGAACCCUGAGAGUCUCAGCCCCAGAAGGGGCUCGUAUCUGUGGAGCAGAGGGUAGAGCGGUUGUUUGCUGACAAAACCAAGCGUGGACGGGGGCAUCUGAAACAGGCCUUGGGACAGUGCCAGAAAGACUGUGGUACAAAGAAUUGACAUUUCAGUCCCUGCCAUGGUUCCUGAUGGUUCCGUUGGGCUCAGUUCUUGCUUGUUGCCCUAGAACCAGGAACUUUCCCUCCCCGGGCAUCAGUUCGGUCCGCUGCUCCUCAGGGAGCUGUACUGUUUGCUCUUGAAAGCGCGGUGCUCGUGUGGUAGCCAGAGCAGCGGCUUGAGAGGACACAGCCAUGGUUCUGGGUCUGAACCUUGGCCGGGCCCGGGAUUCCGUGUGUCAGGCCUGACGUGGCACGUUCUCUCUGAGCCUGUUUCCUCACGUGUAAACGGGGAACUGAAAUGGUUCCUCAGGCACCUAAGGGAUGAAAGGAGCAGAUACGCAUACAGCCUCUGGCACAGGCAGUUCCAUCCAAGGUGUCUUCCUUCUGGGGACCCCCCACCUCGGGCCCGCGCUCUGUUCUGAGGCUUUGUGACUGCUUUUUUCUUCAGCAACAGAUGUGAAGGACAACCACCAAAUCCCUGCGGAAAAACGCAGGGACACCCCGUCUCUAGUCCCCAACCCUAUCGUCUCUCACCCUGGCCCCUCCCUCCCCUGCCAGAGGACAUUUCAUGUGCUUGUAGCAACACUCUUGGGGUCCUGAGAAGCCCCACCCUGAGAAGGAAGUGGAGAGGGGAGAAGGGGAAGUCACAUGCGGAGGAAGUUGCAUUUCAUGGACUCCGCUGCCCGGUUCUCGGGACCCUGUUGACUUCUGCUUUUUCUCCUGCUUAGUCUUUUCAGGUCUUAGAAUGGCAGGAACCAGCUCUGCUGCCCAAACCCAAGACGAAGACCUUGCCAAUGGUCAGAAAGGAUAGGUCAAAACUGUACAAUGAGGUUUCCGGCCACAAGAAGGGCCCCAGGCCCACUCAGCCCAUCAGGCAGGAUACAGAUGAUGGACAUGAUUAUGAAGAAAUACUCGAGAAAUUUCCAAAAACCCUCUAGGUGCUACAGGAACCUCACUUCCUAACUGCUGCUUCUCAGGGAAUCUGAGAUACCAGCCAACUGUUACAAGCCUUUAGAAGACCUUGGACAAGGUCUCUCAGACCUCGGACCGCGGACAAGGAGUGGCCGUUUGGGGAUUGGCUGCAAAUGGGAUGGACACUGCACCAGCUCCUUCCGGGUCUAGGUUCCUGCCAUGGAGGGCGGGCUUCUCUGGGCCCAGACCUUGCAUUUGGCUCCCUCAGCCUUGGAGCUUUGGUAUUUAGUAGCCAACUGGGUUCUACUCAAUCCUGUGUCCCCCAUACCAGUUGUCCCACUGGUUACUGCACAAAGGGAUCCAAGACACUGGCCGCCCUGGCGAUGGCAGGACUGUGCCUCCUGCCUCUCAGUAAAAGGGACUCAAUCCUGACCACACAUGGCACUGAGAGCCUUUUUGAAUGUUUGCUGCUCCCUGCUCCACUCUCUCCUCCCUUUCCCCCUCCCCCAGUCUGGCCCUGAGGGACCCGGACUGUCUUCCUCAUGUCUGCGGCACCCAGCACAGGACACCUGUAGAUGACUAUCCAAGGUUACUUUAAGACCGUAGAAUAAAAAUGACACCUGAGCUUCUGGAAAAAUAAGAGAUCAUCACUUAUUAAGUUA